AUUGAACGCUGGCGGCAGGCUUAACACAUGCAAGUCGAGCGCGCGGCGGACGGGUGAGUAAUGUCUGGGAAACUGCCUGAUGGCGGGGGAUAACUACUGGAAACGGUAGCUAAUACCGCAUCCCAUCAGAUGUGCCCAGAGGGGAUUAGCUAGUAGGUGGGGUAAUGGCUUACCUAGGCGACGAUCCCUAGCUGGUCUGAGAGGAUGACCAGCCACACUGGAACUGAGACACGGUCCCGACUCCUACGUGAGGCAGCAGGGGGGAAUAUUGCGCAAUGGGCGCAAGCCUGAUGCAGCCAGGCCGCGUGAGUGAAGAAGGCCUUCGGGUUGUAAAGCACUGUCAGCGGGGAGGCGUUACUCGCAGAGGAAGCACCGGCUAACUCCGUGCCAGCAGCCGCGGUAAUUC
rnacentral:rRNA from 1 species